GAUGAACGCUGGCGGCGUGCCUAAUACAUGCAAGUCGAGCGAACGGACGAGAAGCUUGCUUUUCUGAUGUUAGCGGCGGACGGGUGAGUAACACGUGGAUAACCUACCUAUAAGACUGGGAUAACUUCGGGAAACCGGAGCUAAUACCGGAUAAUAUUUUGAACCGCAUGGUUCAAAAGUGAAAGACGGUUUUGCUGUCACUUAUAGAUGGAUCCGCGCUGCAUUAGCUAGUUGGUAAGGUAACGGCUUACCAAGGCAACGAUGCAUAGCCGACCUGAGAGGGUGAUCGGCCACACUGGAACUGAGACACGGUCCAGACUCCUACGGGAGGCAGCAGUAGGGAAUCUUCCGCAAUGGGCGAAAGCCUGACGGAGCAACGCCGCGUGAGUGAUGAAGGUCUUCGGAUCGUAAGACUCUGUUAUUAGGGAAGAACAUAUGUGUAAGUAACUGUGCACAUCUUGACGGUACCUAAUCAGAAAGCCACGGCUAACUACGUG
rnacentral:rRNA from 1 species